UACGAAGGGGGGCGAGCGUUGUUCGGAAUUACUGGGCGUAAAGGGCGCGCAGGCGGCCUUAGAAGUCAGAUGUGAAAGCCCCGGGCUACAACCUGGGAAUGGCAUUUGAUACUCUGAGGCUGGAGUACGGGAGAGGAGAGUGGAAUUCCCAGUGUAGAGGUGAAAUUCGUAGAUAUUGGGAAGAACACCGGUGGCGAAGGCGCUCUCUGGACCGUAACUGACGCUGAGGCGCGAAAGCGUGGGAGCAAC
rnacentral:rRNA from 1 species